rnacentral:misc_RNA from 1 species
GGAAUCUUCCGCAAUGGGCGAAAGCCUGACGGAGCAACGCCGCGUGAGUGAUGAAGGUUUUCGGAUCGUAAAGCUCUGUUGCCAGGGAAGAACGUCUUAUAGAGUAACUGCUAUAAGAGUGACGGUACCUGAGAAGAAAGCCCCGGCUAACUACGUGCCAGCAGCCGCGGUAAUACGUAGGGGGCAAGCGUUGUCCGGAAUUAUUGGGCGUAAAGCGCGCGCAGGCGGCUCUUUAAGUCUGGUGUUUAAUCCCGAGGCUCAACUUCGGGUCGCACUGGAAACUGGAGAGCUUGAGUGCAGAAGAGGAGAGUGGAAUUCCACGUGUAGCGGUGAAAUGCGUAGAGAUGUGGAGGAACACCAGUGGCGAAGGCGACUCUCUGGGCUGUAACUGACGCUGAGGCGCGAAAGCGUGGGGAGCAAACAGGA